CUACGGGGGGCAGCAGUGGGGAAUAUUGCACAAUGGGCGCAAGCCUGAUGCAGCCAUGCCGCGUGUGUGAAGAAGGCCUUCGGGUUGUAAAGCACUUUCAGCGGGGAGGAAGGCGGUGAGGUUAAUAACCUCAUCGAUUGACGUUACCCGCAGAAGAAGCACCGGCUAACUCCGUGCCAGCAGCCGCGGUAAUACGGAGGGUGCAAGCGUUAAUCGGAAUUACUGGGCGUAAAGCGCACGCAGGCGGUCUGUCAAGUCGGAUGUGAAAUCCCCGGACUCAGCCUGGGAACUGCAUUCGAAACUGGCAGGCUAGAGUCUUGUAGAGGGGGGUAGAAUUCCAGGUGUAGCGGUGAAAUGCGUAGAGAUCUGGAGGAAUACCGGUGGCGAAGGCGGCCCCCUGGACAAAGACUGACGCUCAGGUGCGAAAGCGUGGGGAGCAAACAGGAUUAGAUACCCGAGUAGUC
rnacentral:rRNA from 1 species